rnacentral:rRNA from 1 species
CGUGUAGGCGGUCAUGUAUGUCUGUUGUGAAAGCCCUCGGCUCAACCGAGGAAGUGCAUCAGAAACUACAUGGCUAGAGUGCGAGAGAGGAUAGCGGAAUUCCGAGUGUAGAGGUGAAAUUCGUAGAUAUUCGGAGGAACACCAGAGGCGAAGGCGGCUAUCUGGCUCGCAACUGACGCUGAGACGCGAAAGCGUGGGGAGCAAACAGGAUUAGAUACCCUGGUAGUCC